rnacentral:rRNA from 1 species
GUCUACGACCACACCAUGUUGACAAUAUCACCUCUCGUCUGAUCCCUGAAGAUAAGGAACAUUGGUCCGAGUCAAUAUUUAGCGGCGAUAGCACACGAGAACACUUGGUGUAGUAUGUA